rnacentral:rRNA from 1 species
GAACCUUACCUGGGCUCGAACGGGUAGUCAACGGCGGUGGAAACAUCGCUACCCCGCAAGGGGGUCUAUUCGAGGUGCUGCAUGGCUGUCGUCAGCUCGUGUCGUGAGAUGUUGGGUUAAGUCCCGCAACGAGCGCAACCCUUGUCCUGUGUUGCCAUCAUUCAGUUGGGAACUCGCAGGAGACCGCCAGCGAUAAGUUGGAGGAAGGUGGGGAUGACGUCAAGUCCUCAUGGCCUUUAUGUCCAGGGCUACACACGUGCUACAAUGGACGGUACAAAGCGCAGCAAACCCGCGAGGGGGAGCCAAUCGCAAAAAACCGUUCUCAGUUCGGAUUGCAGGCUGCAACUCGCCUGCAUGAAGCUGGAAUCGCUAGUAAUGGCAGAUCAGCACGCUGCCGUGAAUACGUUCCCGGGCCUUGUCACACCGA